UAAAAUAUUCGCAUUUUAUUUGGCACAUUUGUCAAGCCUCAUUUAAAUUGGAGAUUCUAUGCGUCACAUGCAGGUCAGCCACUAGGAAGGCCACUAGGUGGCGCUAUUUGUAGGCCAAUUUCGAUACGCUAAUAACUCCCGCAUAGUUUGUCUCACAUUCAAAAACCUUAUAUCCACGCGUUCGGUGAAUGGAGCUGAACCUCCCCAUAUAGGCCACGCCCACUUCCGCCUAGAUUUUUUUUUUUCUAGAGCGCAAAAUGUCCAUAAAUGACUGUUCCGGGUAUCCUCCUACACACUUUGUCCGAUUCGCACGAAAUUUUGCACGUAGCAUCUGUGGACCGUCCUGACAACAAAAGUAAUUUGAACAUUUUUGAUAU